AAUUAAGUUUGUUACUGGUAUGAGCUUUCGUGUGCAUGAACACUUCUGAUGUAUCUGAAGAAGUGUGUAUGCACAUGAAAGCUCAUACCAAUAACAAACUUAGCUG